CUUUGGUUAACACCCUUUAGUUAAACAAAAGGAAAGCAGGAGGCUGCACUUAAGGCUUCUUAACAGACCUCCCUCGCCUGUCCACAGGCUUGUUUUUAGUAAAAUAUUUGAAUGACUACAUUGACUACAAUGGCUACAAUUCCUGGCUUCUGAAUUCACCAAAUUUAGCUUUCCAACCAUGCUUACUGGGGCUGUGCUCAGCAUCCUUGUCUACAGAAACCAAACCAAAGGACACAUAGCGUAAGCUACUGUACAGGACUCUGUCUGCCACACCGUGUGUCUCAUUCAAGGGAAGUUGGCUACAUUUUGUACAUUUAGGAGCCACUGGUAUGGUUCAAGGCCUCUGGUUUCUGCCAGUCCUUCUACCCAGAGCCAGGAUGCCUACUGGGCCCAAGCUGCUGCCAAGAACCACGUCUGGGUCCAUGGUCCAGUUACAACUGGGGUCUGUGUGGAUGUCUGUGGCCUGUGUCACCUCAGGAUGCCCAAGAAACCUUGUGAGAUGAAAUUAGAGGACCAUGCUGAGCUGGCCACGUCUUCGCUAGUCCUGGUAAAGCUGACCUUGCCUCUCCUUGGGCAAGAGCUGGCCCCUGAACACUGGAGAGAUGACCCCCCACCUCUCACUGCAGACCAGGGGAUCCAACCCUGAGGACAUGCAUGUCGGGGAGCUGACUUUACCUCUGUCUGACCAGAUUCGCUACUAUCCGGGCCCACAGCCAGGCCUUGGGUUGACCCACCCUUUCAUCUACCCCAUCUAGGACCUGCCGGAGCUGUGAAGGGAUUGAUCCUGUGGAAUGACACCCACAAGAUCUCCAAAACUCGUGGUAGCCACAGGGUACAGAGUUUUCAAGGGGCCUUUGAGAAGUGGGUUGCAUGCCCUUCUUCCACGCUGCAGGCUGCUGCCAUCGGACCAGAAACAUGUGACCAGCUCAUCGUGCACGGAAACCUCUGAACCGUGAACCAAAGAAAA